rnacentral:rRNA from 1 species
CAGACGAUGCGUCAUGCAUAUCAAUAAGCGGAGGAAAAGAAACUAACAAGGAUUCCCUUCAGUAACGGCGAGUGAAGCGGGAAGAGCUCAAACUUUGAAAUCUUGAAAGGUCACCUUUCACGAAUUGUAGUUUAAAGAAGUGUUUUCUGUUACGAUCGUAAUAUAAGUUCUUUGGAAUAGGACAUCACAGAGGGUGAGAAUCCCGUCUAUGAUUGCGAUUUGUAGCUUUGUGAUACACUUUCAAAGAGUCGGGUUGUUUGGGAAUGCAGCCCAAAACGGGAGGUAAAUUUCUUCUAAGGCUAAAUAUUGGCGAGAGACCGAUAGCGAACAAGUACCGUGAGGGAAAGAUGAAAAGAACUUUGAAAAGAGAGUUAAAUAGUACGUGAAAUUGUCAAAAGGGAAGCGUUUAACACCAGUGUUGUUUUCUGAAAAUCAACCUCUGUUAGCUUUAUGCAUGUUUGUUUAGACCUAAUCAGCUAUCUUGCAUGUUCUAUUGUUUGCAGUGGUGCACUUUUCAGUUUACAGGUCAACAUCAGUUUUUUUUACCGUAAAAAGUUAAAGAAAGGUAGCUCAUGGCUCCGGAUCGUGAGUGUUAUAGUCUUUUUCCUAUGCGGUAGGAGAGACUGAGGUCUGCAGUGUAGGCUAUUUGGCUAGAUACUCAGGUGCUAUGUGAUACCAUUUCAUAAACAACUUGUUGAUUAUGUUUUGUCUAUUGCAUACUCGCUUGUACUAUCAUACCUACGCUUAGGAUGUUGACUGAUAUGUAGUCGUA